rnacentral:rRNA from 1 species
UACGGAGGAUGCGAGCGUUAUCCGGAUUUAUUGGGUUUAAAGGGUGCGUAGGCGGGAUGCCAAGUCAGCGGUAAAAAUGCGGUGCUCAACGCCGUCGAGUCGUUGAAACUGGCGUUCUUGAGUGGGCGAGAAGUAUGCGGAAUGCGUGGUGUAGCGGUGAAAUGCAUAGAUAUUACGCAGAACUCCGAUUGCGAAGGCAGCAUACCGGCGCCCUACUGACGCUGAGGCACGAAAGCGUGGGUAUCGAACAGG